rnacentral:rRNA from 1 species
CAUUCAGUUGGGCACUCUAGCAAGACUGCCGGUGACAAACCGGAGGAAGGUGGGGAUGACGUCAAAUCAUCAUGCCCCUUAUGACCUGGGCUACACACGUGCUACAAUGGGAAGUACAACGAGUUGCGAAGUCGCGAGGCUAAGCUAAUCUCUUAAAGCUUCUCUCAGUUCGGAUUGCAGGCUGCAACUCGCCUGCAUGAAGCCGGAAUCGCUAGUAAUCGCGGAUCAGCACGCCGCGGUGAAUACGUUCCCGGGCCUUGUACACACCGCCCGUCACACCACGAGAGUUUGUAACACCCGAAGUCGGUGAGGUAACCUUUUGGAGCCAGCCGCCUAAGGUGGGAUAGAUGAUUGGGGUGAAGUCGUAACAAGGUAGCCGUAUCGGAAGGUGCGGCUGGAUCACCUCCUUU